UACGUAGGGUGCAAGCGUUGUCCGGAAUUAUUGGGCGUAAAGAGCUCGUAGGCGGUCUGUCGCGUCGGCUGUGAAAACUCGGGGCUCAACUCCGAGCUUGCAGUCGAUACGGGCAGGCUAGAGUUCGGCAGGGGAGACUGGAAUUCCUGGUGUAGCGGUGAAAUGCGCAGAUAUCAGGAGGAACACCGAUGGCGAAGGCAGGUCUCUGGGCAUUAACUGACGCUGAGGAGCGAAAGCAUGGGGAGCGAACAGG
rnacentral:rRNA from 1 species